UUCCAAGUUUCUUUCCGGUCCCCAUGCACCUUUGUCAUCAAACACAAGGUUUGUUUCACAAACAAGUGAGAACAGAUAUAAAGGAGAGUUGCUGACCUCUUAGCACAACUUUUGCAAAAUACUGCUCCUCUGUGGAUCAUAGGCUGGGAAACAUCCCAUGGAGAAUAAGGCUGCUCAUCAACUAGCCUUUCAGUUUUCUGUAGAACUGGAGAUGAUGCUAAAAACUGGGACAUGCAUUGUAGAAAUCAUCUCAGUUCUAGUUGUUUGGUUUCCCUACUUAACUUGAGUACCUUCAGGCUCCAUUUAUAAUUAAUGUACAGGAAUAACCAUGUCUGGAGGGCAAUUUUUCUCACCUAUCAUCUUAGACAUCUUAUCUCAGGAUGAGGUGAAUCAUCCUUUGGUAUUCCUUGAUUCUCUCCAUUAGCUGUAAAGUCAGACUGGUACAGCUGUAGACAAUUUUUAACCACCUAAAUUACAUGAGACGAAUCAUUGUCCCAGUACAGAAAAGCCCCUGUCCUGAAGAAAUCAGGUAUCGCACAGCUUACAUGAUACAUAAUUUGGUGCCUGUCAUGCAUUUCUGUAGCCCAGCCAACAUGACAAAUAUUCACAGGGACUGAUUGCUUCUAACUGCUGCUACUGGCCAUCAGGACUUGCUGAGAUACCUGUGUUCUGCAAGGGACAAUUAGUCUGCAGCAACAACAGUAGAGUGGUGAGCACAGUAAGGGUCACCAAAUGGCAUCCCAAUCCAGAGAGAUGUACCUCUGCUGAGAGCUUAUCAGGGCCCUGCUCUUCCUGGGACAGAUUGGCACAAGGACAUCUUGGAAGAAUAAACUUUGCAGCAUCAAAAUUCUGGAACUGGCAUAGGUGAAGCUUGGUAGUAUUCCUCCUGUGCGCACCGGAGUAUCAGGUACAUAGUGGCAGUAGCUGAUGUUCGUGGUCCCCGCAGUACCCAGAGAUCUGGUUCAUGGCCAGAAGCCAAAACGUAAAAACAAACCAAACCAAACCAAAUGGAAAAGAAAACCUGACUCCUUUUGCUUGUUCUGUGUUUGACAGUUGAACACUCCUGUGUGAAAUGCUUCUUGGUAUUAUAACACA
rnacentral:lncRNA from 1 species